UACGAAGGGUGCAAACGUUGCUCGGAAUCAUUGGGCGUAAAGCGCACGUAGGCGGCUUCGCAAGUCGGAUGUGAAAUCCCUCGGCUCAACCGAGGACGUGCAUCCGAAACUGCGGGGCUUGAGUACUGAAGAGGAUCGCGGAAUUCCCGGUGUAGAGGUGAAAUUCGUAGAUAUCGGGAGGAACACCAGUGGCGAAGGCGGCGAUCUGGGCAGAUACUGACGCUGAGGUGCGAAAGCGUGGGGAGCAAACAGG
rnacentral:misc_RNA from 1 species